rnacentral:rRNA from 1 species
AGGGAAUAUUGCGCAAUGGACGAAAGUCUGACGCAGCAACUCCGCGUGAAGGAUGGAGGUCUUCGGAUUGUAAACUUCUUUUAUUUGGGAAGAACAGCUAUUGUAGGUAAUGACAGUAGUUUGACGGUACCUUAUGAAUAAGCUCCGGCUAAAUACGUGCCAGCAGCCGCGGUAAUACGUAUGGAGCGAGCGUUACUCGGAAUCACUGGGCGUAAAGAGUUCGUAGGCGGAUUCGUAAGUCAGAAGUGAAAUUUUGGGGCUCAACCCCGAAACUGCUUUUGAAACUGCGUAUCUUGAGUGUGUGAGAGGAAGAUGGAAUUCCUGGUGUAGCGGUGGAAUGCGUAGAUAUCAGGAAGAACACCGGUGGCGAAGGCGGUCUUCUGGCACAAUACUGACGCUGAGGAACGAAAGCGUGGGGAGCAAAC